rnacentral:lncRNA from 1 species
CCUAGUGUCUGAGGACUGUUCUUUUAUCUUUUUUAGGUGUUGCUGUCUUUUCUUGAGUUCUUUCUCUAGUUUUCAUUUCCUUGAUGGAUAGGACUUUUUCUUCUUAGGAUGGUCGACCGGAGAGUCUGAUGGACGAAUUCCAGUCGAGUCUGGACGUGGAGACUUUUUCACUUUCGGAGCCGAAUGUCGAGCGACGAUAUUCAUCAGCAUAUUGCCA